rnacentral:rRNA from 1 species
GACGAACGCUGGCGGCGUGCUUAACACAUGCAAGUGGAGCGACGAACCAGGGCUUGCCCUGGGGCAGAGCCGCGAACGGGUGAGUAACACGUGGGUAACGUGCCCCGAUGAUCGGGACAACCCGGGGAAACCCGGGCUAAUACCGAAUGUGCUCCCCUCACACCAGUGAGGGAGUGGAAAGGAAAGCUUCGGCCUCCGCAUCGGGAUCGGCCCGCGGCCCAUUAGCUUGUUGGUGAGGUAACGGCUCACCAAGGCUGCGAUGGGUAGCUGGUCUGAGAGGACGAUCAGCCACACUGGGACUGAGACACGGCCCAGACUCCUACGGGAGGCAGCAGUGGGGAAGUCUUGCGCAAUGCGCGAAAGCGUGACGCAGCAACGCCGCGU